GACGAACGCUGGCGGCGUGCUUAACACAUGCAAGUCGAACGGUGAACCUCUUCGGAGGGGAUCAGUGGCGAACGGGUGAGUAACACGUGGGCAACCUGCCCCCGGCUCUGGGAUAACUCCAAGAAAUUGGGGCUAAUACCGGAUGUUCACCGCUUCUCGCAUGGGUGGUGGUGCAAAGGGUUUCCGGCUGGGGAUGGGCCCGCGGCCUAUCAGCUUGUUGGUGGGGUAGUGGCCUACCAAGGCGACGACGGGUAGCCGGCCUGAGAGGGUGACCGGCCACACUGGGACUGAGACACGGCCCAGACGCCUACGGGAGGCAGUAGUGGGGAGUAUUGCGCAAUGGGCGGAAGCCUGACACAGCGACGCCGCGUGGGUGAUGACGGCCUUCGGGUUGUAAACCUCUUUCAGCGGGGACGAAGCGCAAGUGACGGUACCUACAGAAGAAGCACCGGCCAACUACGUG
rnacentral:rRNA from 1 species